AUAGGAUCCUUUCAUUGUAUAGUUGUUAUAUGAAAGGAUAGGAUUCUAUAGGAUUCUUUCAAUCCUUUCAUUGUAUAGCUGUUAUAUUUGUGUAAUAUUCCCUUUCCCUAUAAAACCUUGUAUAGGUUUUUGUAA